AACUACAAAACACCUACAAAAGAAAGAAGAUGCAAAGAAAAAUAGUUGUUGGUUCAAUAAAAAAACACUCCGUUCUUAAAAGAUGACGACACACUUUUAUAAAGACACUAAAUUAAGAGAACAUACAUUCAAAUGAAAUACAUAGACAAACCACCAAAGCGGAGCGGGCUGGUCCGCAUAACCCAUAUAUAUUAAAAAUCUAUAAAUUUCUUUUUGUACCUCAUAAUUUUUUCACAUAGCCUCAUAUUUUCAAAAAUUAUUCAUUCCAAAUUCUACAAUUCAGAAUAUAAAUUUGUAUUAUAGAUUGUGUAAAAUGGAAUAUUGUACAAUCUAAAACACAAAUUUUAACUUUCACAUUCCGAAAUUCAAGAAAAAAUGUUCAAUGAAAAGUGUCAAAUGAUGAUUUGAGUAUUUUUUUUUAGGUGUGGAGUGCAAUAAAAAAAACAUGGAGGUGCAAAAAGAAACCCCCCUCAAUCCGUAAUUCAUAACACCUUCACAAAAUUUGAUAAUGAUUUUUUUAAUAUUUGAUAGUAUUUUUUUGUCUUUCCAACAUAGAUUGUAUGGUUUUAAUACUCAUAUGCAAUAGUCAAAUUUUGGUCUUUUUAUAAUAAAACUUAAGUAUAAUAUUAUAUUAUAUAUAUAUAUAUAUAUAUAUAAUUCUAUACUAUUUUUCAAAUUAUAAUAGUAAUAAUGUGUAAAUUACCUUAAAAAAAUAGUGACUUCUUUAUUUUUGUUUUUAACACUUUAAGGUAUUGAUUUUCAAUUUUUUCGUUGUCAUAUGAAUUGUAAAGUAUUCGCCAAUUGGUUUUAUAAUUAUUUCUUGUAUUCUUAUUUUAUUUUCUACUAUUUUAUGCAUAUCCAGAUUGAAUUUCUAAAAGGUAAUGAAAUUAAAAGACGUGAACAUUUAUGUUUCGAAGUUUCAAAUUAAUUCAAUAACAAGCUUAUUUCAAUACAAUUCUUUCACGAAAUUUUAACAUUUUUGUUACUAAGAAAACUAAAUAGCAAAGACAUAUACCUAAAUGUAAGAACUCUUCAAGCAUCCUUGGAAGACUUGAAAGAACUUCAAGUGUAACAGAAUGACUGAAAAAAACUUCAAAUUUUUUUUCAAGCUUUAAAAGAGAAAUUUGAGAGGUACCAACUUCCAAUAAAAGUUCCUUGGCGGAGAAUAUAGGAGAAGAAUACUCCCAUUUUUAAGUGACUUUGAAAAACAAGAAGACAAACUUUUAAGCGAGUUCAAUUCUUAUUCAUUUUCAAAGUGUUUAGUAUUCUUUCUUAAAUCUUCGCUUGUUUGUUCCCUAUGUGAGCACUUCCUUUUUUUGUCUUUGCCAUAAUUAAUCAAGGAAAGCUUAACUUCAACUCAACAAGACCAAAACUCCACAAUUGAAUUCACCUUAAGAGGCCAACAAGUAACAUCAACAAAGCUCAAUUUAAAUUGGUAAACUCAAAUGGAUUAAAAUUGAAAAACUUCAAAGAGUAAUUUUAAGGACUCAAGGCAAGAAAUUAAAGAUGCAAAAAUAGUUGGCACUCAAAUUUGGAAACCUAAAGAAAAGCACUAAAAUAGAUUGAAUGAAACAAUUUUUUUUUACUAAGAAUGGUUAUGGCAACACUGAUUCAAGAAUUCAUUUAAAUUUUUCUAUAUUGAAUUCUUCUCCCAAAUUUUUACCACAUAUUGCUAACACAAUAGGUAAUAUUCUCACAAAAUUUCAUCUCAAAAUAUGCACUGAAUCAAAUGCAGUAAUUCAAAAUUUGAGAGCUAUUUUUCACACUUCUUUCAAACUUUUUCAAUAUUGACAUCUAGGCUUUUAACAUUUAUCAUUUUUUUGCACUACGAUUUUCGAAUGUGCCUCUUUAACAGGAUAUUAUCAAUAUAUUGAAGUUCUCACGUAAUAUUUCACACCAUUUUAACGUGUAUAUAGCUUGCAAUAAAUGUUCCAACUUGUAUAAAAAAUCAACAAACUACAAAGGGAAGGAAACAUGUGAAAUUGAAAGAAGAUUAUGAUAACUCAAGACAUAAUGAAAAUCUAACUCUAAAGAACUUGUUAAUGGUAUAAUAACAAGCUAAGAGACUCAAAUUCAUAAAUGUAAAAACAUGCAAAGAGCCAAAAUAAAUCGGAUUACACAAUAUUUUGUGGUAGACUCACAAAAUAAAAAAUAAAAACUAAAAUGAAACAAAGUACUAUUAAAAGUUUACGACAUAUAUGGAAUGAAAAUGACUUAAAAGACAUGGAUUAGAUUUAAAACUCAAAUUAAUAAUACUAAAACAAAUAUUGAGCCAAAUAAAAUGAAACAAAAACAAAAACACACAUAGUAGCAUAAGUAUGAAACCUAAAACACAUGUUUUGGUGAUUCAAGAUAGAAUGAAUGAUUAAAUACGGAAUGAAUGUUUUGAACCAAUUAAAAGCAUAAUGAACACAACAUAUUUGGUGAAAUAACCCAAAACAUAUUCAAGAUAUGUAAAACAAAAUGAAGAUAACACAAAAAAAUUUAAGAAGAAAACAAAGGUGAAUAACACUUAGCUUAGACCAAAACCUUGCUCUAGAUACCAAAUGAUUUAAACCUGGUCUUGAAUCCUUACAUGUUUUAGAGUUUAUAAUUUUGAAUGGGUUUUGUGAAGGCAAUGCGAAAGCUGGAUGAAGGUAGAAUUCAUAUUAGAAAGAUGAAUUUGAUACCAGAAAUUUGUAUAGAAUAGACAAAAUUUGUAUGUAAAACAUAGUUACAUAUAAAAUACAUACGGGAAAAAAAUUGUAUGUAAAAUUAUCGUAGAUAGCUGUUACAUAUGAAUUUUAAAAUCCAUAUGUAAAUUACACAUGAAUAUAUUCAUAUGUAAUUACAUACAAAAAAUUGUGUAUGUAAAGUCUGAUGUAUUUACUACGGAAAAAACCGUAUGUAAUAUCCAAUUUCAAUUUUUUCCAAGUCAACUUUAUCAAGAUAUUUUUUAUUUUACAAACCUGAACAUGUAUAUUCAAAAUUUUCUUUUUACAAACCUAAACAUAUAUAUUCAAAAUCAUGAUAAAAUAUUUUUUAGAUUGUAAACGAUUAUAAAAAAAUAAUAAUGAAUGUGGAAAAAGUUUGAUCUAAGUUUAUCGAUGUGAUAAUAUAAAUAUUCAAAAUAUCCAAAAUAUCCAAAUAUAGUUCAUUUGAACCAAAGAAAACAUCUAAGAAAAGAAAUCCAAUGUCAAUACAAAGCUUCUUAACAAACUAAUAAUUAUUAUAAUCACUAGUGGGUGAAUUGUGUUGUUGGUUAUAAUUGUUGUCGUGUUGCACUUGGUCAUUAUAUUGCAUCUGAUUUUGUUGUUGUUGAGUAUUUGGUUGUUGAAAAAUAUUUUGUUUAGUCAUUGUUGCUUGAGUUGGUAUAUAUUGAAGGAUUAAACUAUGAAAUAAUUGAAACUGGAACCUGUUCCUCACUAGUUGUUAGUCGUUGUCUAAGUUCAAUAAUUUCCCUUUUAGACAAAUUCUUUCUUAUUGGAAUGGAGGAUGAAACAAUUGUCAUAUAAAGAAUAUUAUUUAUUUUUAUAGAUGAAGCUUCAAAGUAUAUGUCAAAGCAAAAGUUAAAGGUUUUCCAAAGUCUUGUCUCGGAGGAAGGAAUGAAGGGAAAGACACACAAGUUUAAGGAUUGCUAGAUCUAACUAAUAUAUAUUGAACAACACUGAUAAAGUUCUUCCUUACAUAGCAGUACAUAAAAUGUUAAAAUGUUGUUGAAGUCAAUUGCUUGCAAAUAAAAACUGAUUAUUGACUUAGUAUAGCAAUACCUUUUUAAAAUGGUUUAAAGACAAAAUUAAUAUAUAAGAUUAUAAUGUUGCUAAAUUAAUAUGGUUAGCAUGAUGACUAUGAUGACAACAAAAAACAUACCCGCAAAUAUCCACGGGUAAAAUUCAUAAUCUAAACUUAAUGAAUACUAACACGUAAUGGUUAGGGUUAUUUUAAUUGUUCGCUUGUUCAUAGGACGGGUAUAUAUGCAUAUAAUGAUAUCCAACCUUUCAAUACAAUCAUGGUUAAUGAAUUCUAUUUGAAUAUUUUUUUUUAAAUCAAGUGAUUAAAAUAAAGUUAUUGGUGAGAGAAAUAUUAACCAUUGAACAAUUGUUUUGAAUUUAAUUUCAUAUGCAUAUUUUUUUUAUUUAGACAUGUGAACUUGAAGUUGUUUUUAAGACAAAUAAAUUUUUAAAAUAUAUACUUUAUGUUAUAACAUUAAUUUUUUAAAAAAAGUUAUUUGCACUGAUAUUUUAAUAUGCAUUUUAUUUGAGUUAUACUUUAAAAUUAUUAUUUUUUAUUUAAGUUUAUAUUUUAAAUAAUUGGAUAAAGAGCUAGUUUAGUACAACAUAUAUUAAUAUAUUUCGUUUUUAAUACAAUAAUAAAAAAAUACAAUCUUAGUAUAACAAAUAAUAAUUUUGAUAAUUUUGUUGAACACGUGUUUGGUUUUUUAAUAAUUAUGAAAUGGGUGCACAUCUUUUAUGGGCUAUAAAUUUUAAUAUUCCAUGGACAUGGUUAUUGACAAGGAUUAAUUGAAUCCAUUGUUAGCAAAUCCUUCAUUCACCAACAUACCUUCCCCUUUCACCUUCAUGUUAAUUACUGAAAAAAAUUGAUUUUAAUAUUUUUAAAAUUUUAAAUAAUCUUAAAUGAAGCAUAACCUCACAUUUUUUAAUAACCUCAGUUGCACCUUCGCAAACUCGUACCUUCCUUCCAACCGCAUCACUUCCAUUUUCCUCCAACUGCAGCAUUUGAGAUAACAGAUCUAUCAUUUGAGUGUGUGAGAGAGAAUUGACGAAAACAUUCAUUGUAUUUGACGUUCUCAGUGCGAAGAUAUUUUUUUUUAGUUUUGUACUCCAUUUUUGUACCUCGCUAAUUUUUUUAUGAUUUUUGUAUUUUUGCACCUCGCUAUUUUUUUGUGGGUUGUUUAAUAUGAAUUUAAAUAUGGAUGUUUGUUCUGUCAGUCUAGCUGCAUUUUUUCACCUUACAAUGAUAUAAUUUCCAAUUGUAUACAACAAGAAUGGAUGCACGAGAAGAAAAACUGAAUAGGGGACAAUGAGAGCGUGCAUUUGGGAGUGACCAGAUUAAAAUUAAUUCCAGUUACAUUAUCAACUAAGUAAAAGUUAAAAAUCAAUACUCGCUAAAACCAUGAUUCAUGUUAGAUAUCGCGGAAGAUAUUAUUAACAUUAUGAGAUAUCUCAAAAAUAAAUAAUAUCAUCAUAAUUCGAACAUGUGCAUUGUUUUAUCCAAAAUUUAGUUCAUAAAUAAAAUAAAAUUACACAAAGAAUAAAUAGGAAAAAGGUAGGUUUUUGUUCUAUUUCCAAUGGAGUAAGAAGGAACAUCAAACUUUUAUUUCUAUAUGGAUAAGAAUAUGUUAAUGGAUAAUUUUGAAAUGUGAGAUGAGUGUUGUCAUACUUUUGAAUCAAUAGUUAUCAGAGUCAUCACAAACAACCAUCAGCACUUGAAAAUGAAGAAAAAAAUAUCACACUUUCUAUCAUAUUUUUAAAAAUAUUGUUGGAAUUAAGAAAAAUGUAUGAAGUUAGAACCAAUAUGAAGAUGCAAGAAGAAUUUGGCUCCAUUGUUUGAGUUAAAAUAAAUUAAAAAUUGAUCUGCUAAUCAGUUCAAAGCGUUGAGCACCAUACACGACUAACACAUUACUUUCUAGGUGUAAUUGCCAGAAUAUGAACAUCCUUCCUAACAAAAAUUAUUGCACCAUGAUAUAUAUAUUAGUUAGGAGAAUUUGAGAAACAUUAAGACUAUAGUACUCGUCGUAUUUGAUUUGAUAUUGUUACAUUUCGAAAAGUCAUGAUAAAACACACCUGAUAAUUAUUAAAAAUAAUGUACUUAAUUAUAUUAAUUGUUAUUGAAAUUUAAAUAAAACUAUCAAAAAUAAAAUUACUGUAAAAUAUUUUGUUAUUAUAUUAAAAACAUAUAUCAAUACUUAUAGUAAUAAACUGACUAUUUGUCCUAAAUAAUUUUAUUUAAAAUUGAAAAAUAAAAAUAAAAUAUCCGCAGGUAUUUAUAUAUGUAUAUAUAGGUAUAAAAAUAUCUACAUUCACAUACAUCCAAUAGAUAACGGGACAAAUAAUGAAAGAGAUUUUUUUUAAAUGUGGGUUGGAACUGGUACUAGCACUGGUGCAAAAAGUUUAAAGAUAACAGCUAUAGCUAUUUCAAUUUAUAAUGGCAUCUAUAUAGCCGCAUUUGGUCUACAUACGGUCUUAAAUCCAACACAUAAGAAUGCUGCUAUUUAGUCGCAUUCGUAAAUGAGAUUUAUAAAUGCGAUUAUGGUAAAUAGCUGCAUUACGAAUACGAUUAUGGUAAUAGCCGCAUUUAUAAAUAUUUCUGCUGGAUUUAAGAAUGCAGCUAUGGUAAAUAGCCCCAUUUAUAAAUCUUUGCACGGGAUAUAAGAAUGUGGUUAUGGUAAAUAGUCGUUGUUGUAUAUGGUUGUUGUUUUUUUUCUAGUACAAUCUGUUUAAUGCUUAUACCCAUCUAAAUUGAUUUGUUCAAUUAUAAUCAAGCCAGACAAAUACAUAAAUUCAGAUAAUCAAAUUUUAUAUAUUGAUAAAAAUGUAUUACAAACACUAAUAAUAUAUCUUUAUCUAUUUAAUUCAUACACUAUUCAUCGGCUAACCUAGAGUUAUAAAAAUUUAUGAAAUAUGAAAACCAAUAAUGUUUCACAUAUGAUAUGGCUUCCGAAGACAUUUUGAAGAAUUACUUUUCAAAAUGUGGUUGACAUAAAUUAGUUUUAAGAAACAUAUAUGGUAAAGAAUUAUAAAAUUAAUUUACCAUCAUGUUACCUUAUGCCAAUCACUUUUAAGGUUCAGUCUUACAAUGGUAACCAUCAAUUGCAUAAUGUAAUAACCACACUCAUAGCUUAUUGGUUGUUUAUUACACUAUAAUUCAAUAAAAAGUAAAAGUUAAUAUUGAUAAACAAUUAAAAGAGAAAGAAAAAAAAUUACAAAACCUUUAGUUUUAUCCAGUUCAGAUUUUGAAAAUUUGAACUGGAUCGACCUUUUAGGAUGUUAUAUCCACACCGUGAACUGAUUAAUACGGAGUUAAGUUUUUAGUGUACUUACCUAUCAAUGAUAUUCUUAAAACUUGUGGAUGACUUUUUGUGUAGGAACAUAAUCACACAAUAGUUUUAUAAACCAUUGAUAAGACAAGUAACUGUCAAUGACUUCUAUAUCAUCCAUGAAAAGAGUUAAUAAAUAUUUAAAACAUGAAAUAAUAAUAAUUGACGACAUAUAAUUAAACUUACUUAUUAGAAAACCAUUAUAUCAUUAAGACUAUAGUUAUCGUCAUAUUUGAUUUGAUAUUGUUACAUUUAGAAAAGUCAUUAUAAAACACACCUCAUAAUUAUUGGAAAUCAUGUAAUUAAUUAUAUUAAUUGUUAUUGAAAUUUAAAUAAAACUAUAAAAAAUAAAAUUACUUAAAAAUAUUUUUUUUAUUAUAUUAAAAAAACAUAUCAAUACAUAUAGUAAUAAAUUGACUAUUUAUCCUAAAUAAUUUUAUUUAAAAUUGAAUAAAAAAUAUCCUAAAUAGUUAUAUUUUAUAUAUGCAUAUAGGUAUAAAAGUAUCUACAUUCACAUACAUCGAAUAGAUAACGGGACAAAUAAUGAAGGGGAUUUUUUUAAGAGUACUUCUAUUUUACAAAAAUAUUCCUUUCACAUAAAUAAUUCAGGUACUUAAAAAAGUUGUAUUCAAACGCACGGAAAAAUUGAUUGUACAAGGCAUUUUCUUUUUUAAAAUGUGAGUUGCAGCUAGGUACUAGCAAUGCAUGUCCUGUUUUGUUAGUCACACAAAAUAGAACGUAUUAUCUUCCGUAUUAAUAAUGAACAAAACUUUCCAAAAAUAAUCAUUUCUAUAUAUAUAUAUAUAUAAAUAAUAUUGAAUUGAUAAACGAGUUAGAUAAAUUUAGUUGAUGUAAAGCUUUGAAUGAUUAUUUAUUUUUCAUACACCGGUUAUUUUUAGUUUGUUUUUACUUUAUAUGUAUUUUUAUCAUGUUAUAUUUUAAAGUAAUACAAUUGUGUUUUAACAUUAAAACAUGCCAUGUCAAAGAGUAUGGACAUCUUAUGUUUAUAUAUUUAUAUUUUUAAAUGCUUUGAAAAACUUUUUUUUGUUCAGUAAAAUAUUUGGAGAAUUAUAUAAACAUUAUUGAGAAUAAAUUGGUAUAUUUGCAACUGCUUAUUUUAAGAUGUUACAAAAUUCGUCUAAAUAGUAUAGAAAUAUUUAAUUUAAUUUUCUUCACAUAAUAUUAUUAAAAGUUAUAAUUAAUUUUUCUAAUUUUAAAUUAAUUUGGUUCCUUUUCUCGUGAUAUAAGAAACUAAAUUGAUGUUAAUUUAAAAAUGGAGGAAUUUGAUUCAAGUUUUUUUCAAUAAUAAAAAAAUCAAAUUGAAUAAAUUAUAUAAAUGCUACAAAUAUUUUUCAAAAAACUAAUACAAUAAUAAAUAAUUAGAUUUAAAUACUAAAUAAAAAUAAUUAAAUAUAGAUAUUUAAAUAAAUAAAAAAAUUGAAAUCAAGUCCCAAAAUCCGAAUUACAAUGAAUGAAUUUAAUUCCCUCACGCAUCUUAACAAAUUAUUAGUGACGUGGACGAUAAUACCCUUAAAAAUAUCUAGAUCAGAGGGUUUAUCGUUUAUAGUUAUAAAUUGUCCACGUGAAGCACGCCUUCCAUUAUCUUACCAUUAUCUUAAUUUUAUUAUAAUAAUGUUACAAGUUCCAGAAUCUCUUUACCUGCUUUCAUCUUGCAACAUUUUAAUAUGUUUUAGUUAGAGAAAAAAUAAAUGAAACAAGGAAAAGGAAAAUGAAGAUAAUUAGUAAGAUAUUUAUGAGUUGAUUAAUAGAAAAAAAAGAGUUCAGUAGAUAGGAAAUAACAUAAAUACCUAUAAUAAUAAUAAAAAAAAAACAUAAGAGUACUUUAAUCCUUUAUUCUAUAAAAUGACCUUCCUCUCUCCCUCAUUCAAUGAAUUAUCAUAAUAACGUUGAACGAGGGUUUUAAAUAAUAGACGUUUUUGUAUUCUUAUUAUUUAUUAAUUAAUUUCAGAUUGAUUUUUUUUUUGAGGUGAGAACGUGAAGAUUAGAUAUGUGGAUUUCUUGACCUUAUGAAGGGCGGUGGUCCUACUAACGAAGGGCAUUGUUUUAAACGUGUACCAGUUUUUCGUCCUAUAUCACUUUCCACCUACGUCGUUUUAUGGUUGAAACUGGAUCCACCCACGUGCUAUUGCAUUUGUUUAUUACUUCAUGGAUAAAUAUCGACUGGUAAAAAUAUCCACCUCACAUCUAUUUUGUAAUAAAAUAUUAUAUUUAAAUAAAAUAAUAUUUUUGUUGAGUUAUAGAGAAAGAGGAAUUUCAACAUACAUUAUUUAGUCACUCUUAAUGCUCAUAUCACAUAAUGUUAAUAUAAUAAGAUUUUUUUUUUUACUUUUACAAUAAUUAUUUUAAAACAUUUACUGAAAAUAAUUUUAAUUAAAUAACUAUAUACAAAUGUUUAUAAUUAAAUAAUUUACAUUUAUAUAACAUGUAUUCAAAUUUUAUUGUUUAUAAUAUUUUAUGUGAUUACUAACAUAACUAGCCAACAAUUUACUCAACAAGACUUUGAGCAUCUCUAAUGUAAUGAGUUAUCUGCGUUGUUUCAUUUUAAAAGCGUUAUUUAUAUUUAAUAAAAAACAUCAUUAUAGAGUGAACAACAUAUCAUUGUUCAUGGAAUAGUAACUUUUAAUUAAAUGAAAGCAAUAUGUAUUAUUGAAAGAAGAUAAGAGAGUAGAAUUAUUGUUUUUCGGAUGGGGGUAUUGUUUAUGAAAUGAAACUCAUGCACGUAUCUAUGAUUAAGGAAGGAAAAUUAUAGUUUAACACCCACUCUUUCUAUAAAAAAAAAAAAGAUAGUGUGAAAGUAAGAUCUAGAAACGAAUGAUUGCGAUGGAAAUGGUCCAUGAGUCACAGUAGGUAUCUGGGAAAUAGAGUCUGAAAUACAGACGCAACGACCCAUUUUCUUGUCCCAAAAUCUCCAUAAGAAAGCAAGUAUCCUUUGCUUCUUCAGUUGAACCUCGAGAUGGCUUCAUCAAUGGGAACCAUGGUGGUGGCUUUGCCAAAAACACAGAAGAACCAAGCUCACACCUUCCUAUCCCAACUACCAAACACCCUAAAACCCAAACCCACCAAAACUUUAAAAACUUACACCACCAACUUUACAUGCAGUGCCACGCUUUCAUCUACUCUGCAGAGCACUCAGAAGCAAGAAGAAGAGAAGAAACAAAAACCACUAGCGGAGGUGUGGCGCAAGAUCCACGGGGAGGACAACUGGGCCGGCCUUCUGGAUCCCAUGGAUCCCGUAAUGCGGGCCGAGCUUAUCCACUACGGGGAGAUGGCCCAGGCCUGCUACGACGCCUUCGACUACGAUCCCUACUCCAAAUACUGCGGCAGCUGCAGGUUCUCCGUACCGGAAUUCUUCCAAUCCCUGGACAUGCCCAACGUCGGAUACACCAUCACACGUUAUCUCUACGCGACGGCCAACAUCAAGCUCCCUAAAUUAUUCCGCAAAUCGCGGUGGCCCGACAAGAGGUGGAGCAAGCACGCGAACUGGGCAGGGU
rnacentral:lncRNA from 1 species